rnacentral:rRNA from 1 species
UACCCUUUGCAUAAUGGUGAUACUAUAAUUAAAUUAAAAUUGAUCAUCCCGAAUAUAAAAGAUCUACUUUGAAUUAUAAAUUUUUGGAAGUAUUAUUAUUGUUGCAUAAAUAAGUUAAAAUAGUAAAGUAGUUGUGAAAGGCUUACAUUUUUAUAGAUAACUGGAUUAAAAGAAAAUAUAUUAAGUAUACAAGACAACAUAAAAUUGAUUAGGAUUUUAUGUAAACUGAAUAUUAUAUUACGCUAUAAAUUUUCUGAUUAAUAAGACUAAGCGGAAUAAUUACAAGCAAAUAUUUCCUUAUUUAUAUAUCACUUAAAUACUUUUAUAAACUAAAUCAAUACUCUAAUGUUUUAAUAAUGUAUCAAUUAGUAUGUAUUCAAAAUUAUUAGUAAGGAACUCGACAAUAAUGUUUUACGACUGUUUAUCAAAAACAUAGCCAUAAGUAAAUUUUUAUGGUGUAGUCUGCCCAGUGAAUUAAUUUAACGGCCGCAGUACUUUGACUGUGCUAAGGUAGCAUAAUAAUUUGGCUUUUAAUUGGAGUCUGGAAUGAACGAAACUACGUAUAAUACUUGUCUCAUAUAAUAUAGUAUAUAAAUUAAUAAAGAAGUGAAAAUACUUCUAAUUUAAAUAAAAGACGAGAAGACCCUUAGAAUUUUUAUUACACAUAAAAUUACUUUUAUUACCAUUUUAGUUGGGGCAACUCUAUUUCAUCAUUAAAUAAAUAGUGUAGAUAGUUAUUUAUAGCGAUUAUAUAAAUUAAAAUAAAUUACCUAAGGGAUAACAGCAUAAUUUACAUAAAUAAGAUUGUGACCUCGAUGUUGGACUAGGUACUAUUAGAGCUAAUCGUUUUAAUAAAAUAUGUUCUGUUCGAACUUUGUUACCUACAUGAUCUGAGUUCAGACCGGCGUAAGCCAGGUCAGUUUCUAUCUUUUUUAUUAGUAUAGAAUAGUACGAAGGG